rnacentral:rRNA from 1 species
UACGUAGGGGGCAAGCGUUGUCCGGAUUUAUUGGGCGUAAAGAGCGUGUAGGCGGCCCGACAAGUCUGCUGUGAAAACUCGAGGCUCAACCUCGAGAUGUCGGCGGAAACUGUCUGGCUAGAGUCCGGAAGAGGAGAGUGGAAUUCCUGGUGUAGCGGUGAAAUGCGCAGAUAUCAGGAAGAACACCUAUGGCGAAGGCAGCUCUCUGGGACGGUACUGACGCUGAGACGCGAAAGCGUGGGGAGCGAACAGG